rnacentral:sRNA from 1 species
AUUUGGCUGGGGCCUUUGUUGGCUGCAGUAAGAGCUCGGGUCUUCUUCACCAGGGCUCCGAGUCCUUCUAUCUGGGAGGCCCAGGCGGCUUCGAGUUCUGAGAAUAGACAGAACCUCUGUUGCUCUGUGACCUGCAGGCACUGGGAGAUCCGUAGCUAAGACGCCAGGACAUCCCGGAAGCUGGGAAAUGAUAUCUUUUCUCAUGAUUCUCAAGGCCUCUUAAGAAAGAAGCUUAUAGAAGCAUCAUUCCAAAAAGUGAUAUUGGAUGGAUAUGGCAGCUGUGGCCCUCAGAAUUUAAACUUAAGGAAAGAGUGGGAAAAUGAGG